rnacentral:rRNA from 1 species
GCUGGCGGCAGGCCCUAACACAUUGACAAGUCGAACGGGAUCUUCGGAUCUAGAUGGCGGACGGGUUAGUACGCAGGAACGUACCCUUUUCUACGGAAUAGCCUCGGGAAACUGAGAGUAAUACCGUAUACGCCCUUCGGGGGAAAGAUUUAUCGGAGAAGGAUCGGCCCGCGUAAGAUUAGAUAGUUGGUGGGGUAAUGGCCUACCAAGUCUACGAUCUUUAGCUGGUUUGAGAGGAUGAUCAGCAACACUGGGACUGAGACACGGCCCAGACUCCUACGGGAGAGCAGCAGUGGGGAAUCUUAGACAAUGGGGGAAACCCUGAUCUAGCCAUGCCGCGUGAGUGACGAACGCCUUAGGGUCGUAAAGCUCUUUCGCAUGGGGAAGAUAAUGACUGUACCCAGUAAAGAAACCCCGGCUAACUCCGUGCCAGCAGCCGACGGUAAUACGGAGGGGGUUAGCGUUGUCCGGAAUUCACUGGGCGUAAAGCGCGCGUAAGGCGGACUGGAAAGUUGGAGGGGUGAAAAUCCCGGGUCUCAACCCCCGUGAACAGGACUCCAAAAAACUAUCAGUCUAGAGUUCGAGAGAGGUUGAAGUGGAAUUCAGAGUGUAGAAAGUGAAAAUUCGCUAGAAUAUUCCGGAGGGAACACACAGUUGGACUGAACGGACGGAUCACUGGGU